GAUGAAGAACGCAGCGAAAUGCGAUAAGUAAUGCGAAUUGCAGAAUUCAGUGAGUCAUCGAAUCUUUGAACGCACAUUGCGCCCUGUGGUAUUCCGCAGGGCAUGCCUGUUCGAGCGUCAUUUCAACCCUCAAGCCUCGCUUGGUGUUGGGCCCUGCCCGCCGCGGCCGGCCCUAAAGAUAGUGGCGGCGCCGCCUGGCCCUCAGCGUAGUACAGCUCUCGCUCCAGGGUCCGGCGGCAGCCUGCCAGAACCCCCCAACUCUGUGGUUGACCUCGGAGCAGGUAGGGAUACCCGCUGAACUUAAGCAUAUCAAUAAGCGGAGGA
rnacentral:misc_RNA from 1 species